AGAAAGUAAAAGGCAUGGCUGGAUCUUUCUCAAAAAUAAGAUCCCGGAUAGCAGACUAGGUAUAAAACGCAAGGAGAUGGAAAGAUCAUUUGGAUUCAAAUAAAGCAGAAAUCAUGAGCCAAGUGUCCUUCCUCAGAGGAUGGAACUGAGCGGGAAUGGUCCACAGCAGAGGGCUCCUUGUUGAGUGACUGAAGGUCCUGGACACCUCUGCACCCAACACCCAGGCCAUUUUUGGUGACCAGGGAGCCUCUUUCACCAAGUUCAGAGGAAGCAAAAUGUCCGUGGGAGGAGUUCUUAAAAAUCAUGGCAGCCCCUUCUACAACUAGGAAUCUCUAUUGAGGUCACCUGGAUGCAGAUCACCUUUCUUCUGGGAAGACACUGGAAUCUUACCUCCGUAGUUACAAAGAUAUGAUGACAUAGGGGAUGAUGUUCGUUCAAGGUAUCCUCAGAGGAAGCAAUACCUCGAGGUAGUUCAUCUAAGUGGGGACAUUUCUGCAGGAUUUCAAACAACGCACCUGGUGUGAAGCAUUAUACAUUUCAAGAACACCAAAUACAGAUGUAUAAGAAAGUGGAGGAAUGAAAACAACUCAAAAAUACAUUCAAACGGAGCACUCUGGUUACCCUGGACUACUGUAUUUCCUACCCAGCCCAGUUCCAUUGAUGUAACGUCCUACCACCCAGAAGAUCCUCCUAUUUUAAGACACUAUCUUGCAAAUGCCCCUGCUCCAUACUCAGACUACUGCAAUUACACAGUAAGAUUAAUGAAUUCACAGGCUGUUUCUGAGGAUUUAAUGACUUCUUAAUAGAACAGGGUGCACACAUAGCUAGACUACUAUGACAAAUCAUAAAAGCUUCUUAAUAAGAAACCCCAAUUAGUUAAUUAAAAUUUGCUAAUUGAAAAUUCUAAGAACAGCUUGUAAAAUAUUCCAGACCUUGAGAUAAAGCAGUAAAACACAUAUCUAAUGUGCCCACCAGACAAGUUUUACAUAUCUAUGCAAUAGGAGACCUUGGUAAGUGAAACAAGAAAUGAGGAAAUAGGUCAUCACAGAGAAACCUUGAAAGUGGUCUAAUAUAUCAAGAGUGAGAACUGGAAAUUAUUAUUAUUUAUCACACAGAGAGCAGGUGCAAGGAAUGGGGUCACCUUUAUUAAUUUACUCAUACAUUUCUUACUCCUCCUACUCCGUUACAGAUUCAUCUCUCUGUAAUGGCAUAAAGGCAUAUGUAAGUAACAUUGCAUGGAUCUCACCAAUUUUGGAUAUUUUAACAUUCAUUCCUGUUCUUAAAAGAUGUACUUGAUGCUCAGGGUGGCUCUACAAGAAAAUGCUCAAAAUGUGCCUCAUUAAGAUGACUGAUGUAAAUUUUUACUAAAGAGUAGGUGAAAUGUUGUAAGGAAAGGAAUGCCUUCUAAAGCAAGUAGAGAGAAACCAUUUUUUUUUUUUUUUGCUCCAAAUGCCGCAUAACCAGUUCUAAAUUAAGGGGAAAGGAGGAAGAAGGAUAACAGAGCUACAGGACUCAACCUCCAUGAAGUCAUCACAUGGAAGCCUUGACAGUGGUCUAAUACAGCAAUCCCUAGUUUUUGUGCUGCAGAGGGAACAUGGCUGCUGCUCCACCAAAGCAAUCUGGCAGGCUAGACUUCACAGCUCACCUGAAGUAUCCUUGGAGCUAUGUACAUGGCUCCGGUGAAACCUAAAGCCCAGCCCAGGCUCUCCGAUUCGUUCUUGUUUCGAGCUGGGGGUCCAGUUCUGUGUGACUUACCUUUCCUCACCAUAACUUGGGAGUAAAGUAAGGUCAAAGGUUCUGGCUUUGACUUCAGCCUUCAAAUUUGAUUUUGCAGUCCAGACGAUACCAGAUCCACCCUGCCAUCCCCAAGUUAGGGCUCCUUACAAAGAAUUUUUGGAAAGAAGAAUGGAUGACAAUGAGGAGGGCAGAAGGGGACAAGCAGGGAAGGAGCUGGGAUGUGACCUGGUGAUAUAACUUAUAGUACUAAUAGCAGUAACUGGUUUUACUAGUAGUACCAGUAAAAGUGCAAGAGUAAUGGUAAGAUUAGCAAUAGCAGUGGUGGUGGCAGAACAGUGACAGUAGUACGAGUAAUGUUAACGGCAGCAAUCAUUUGGGGAAAUGCCUACUGAGUGGUAAAAUAAAAAGACAUGUUAUUAA